rnacentral:rRNA from 1 species
GAUGAACGCUAGCGGCAGGCCUAAUACAUGCAAGUCGAACGGUGUCUUCGGACAUAGUGGCGCACGGGUGCGUAACACGUAUGCAACCUACCUUACAUUGGGGGAUAGCCUUCCGAAAGGGAGAUUAAUACCGCAUAAGACAGUAGCUGGGCAUCCAGCAGCUGUUAAAGAUUUAUCGAUGUAAGCUGGGCAUGCGUCCAAUUAGCUAGUUGGUGAGGUAACGGCUCACCAAGGCAAUGAUUGGUAGGGGAACUGAGAGGUCAAUCCCCCACACUGGGAGUGAGAUACGGGCCAGACUCCUACGGGAGGCAGCAGUAGGGAAUAUUGGGCAAUGGACGCAAGUCUGACCCAGCCAUGCCGCGUGCAGGAUGAAGGCGUUAUGCGUUGUAAACUGCUUUUAUACAGGAAGAAACGACUCUUGCGAGAGGCAUUGACGGUACUGUAUGAAUAAGCACCGGCUAACUCCGUGCCAGCCGCCGCGGUAAGAC